rnacentral:rRNA from 1 species
AUAAGGUUAAGUUAAUAAGGGCGCACGGUGGAUGCCUUGGCCACUAGGAGCCGACGAAGGACGUGACAAACGACGAUAUGCCUUGGGUAGCUGUAAGUAAGCGAUGAUCCAGGGAUUUCCGAAUGGGGGAACCCAACAGGUAAUACCUGUUACCUACAUCUGUUAAGGAUGUGAGGAGGAAGACGCAGUGAACUGAAACAUCUAAGUAGCUGCAGGAAGAGAAAGCAAAAGCGAUUGCCUUAGUAGCGGCGAGCGAAACGGCAGAAGGGCAAACCGAAGAGUUUACUCUUCGGGGUUGUAGGACUGCAAUGUGGACUCAAAGAUUAUAGAAGAAUGAUUUGGGAAGAUCAGCCAAAGAGAGUAAUAGCCUCGUAUUUAAAAUAGUCUUUGUACUUAGCAGUAUCCUGAGUACGGCGGGACACGUGAAAUCCCGUCGGAAUCUGGGAGGACCAUCUCCCAACCCUAAAUACUCCCUAGUGACCGAUAGUGAACCAGUACCGUGAGGGAAAGGUGAAAAGCACCCCGGGAGGGGAGUGAAAUAGAACCUGAAACCGUGUGCCUACAACAAGUUCGAGCCCGUUAAUGGGUGAGAGCGUGCCUUUUGUAGAAUGAACCGGCGAGUUACGUUAUGAUGCGAGGUUAAGUUGAAGAGACGGAGCCGUAGGGAAAACCGAGUCUGAAUAGGGCGCCUUAGUAUCAUGACGUAGACCCGAAACCAUGUGACCUACCCAUGAGCAGGUUGAAGGUGCGGUAAGGACGCACUGGAGGACCGAACCAGGGCACGUUGAAAAGUGCUUGGAUGACUUGUGGGUAGCGGAGAAAUUCCAAACGAACUUGGAGAUAGCUGGUUCUCUCCGAAAUAGCUUUAGGGCUAGCGUC